GUACACGCUGUGACUAGCAUAUCAAUAAGCGGAGGAAAAGAAACUAACAAGGAUUCCCCUAGUAACGGCGAGUGAAGCGGGAAGAGCUCAAAUUUGAAAUCUUAAAGGGUUUCCCUUUACGAAUUGUAGUUUAAAGAAGUGUUUUCUGUUGAGGUUUUGGUAAAAGUUCUUUGGAAUAGGACAUCAUAGAGGGUGAGAAUCCCGUAUUUGACCUUUACUUUCAACUUUGUGAUACACUUUCAAAGAGUCGGAUUGUUUGGGAAUGCAGUCCAAAAUGGGUGGUAAAUUUCAUCUAAAGCUAAAUAUUGGCGAGAGACCGAUAGCGAACAAGUACCGUGAGGGAAAGAUGAAAAGAACUUUGAAAAGAGAGUUAAACAGUACGUGAAAUUGUCAAAAGGGAAGCGUUUGACACCAGUGUUGUUUUUCUGAAAAUCAAUUAAAGAACUGUUUAUGCUAAGCUGUUUAGACUUUAUCAGCUGAUCUGUUUAGUUUUGAGCUUUUCUUUAAUGCACUUUUCAGUUAACAAGUCAACAUCAAUUUCUUUUGCUGUAAAAAAGCUUGAGGAAGGUGGCUUGAGAUUCGUCUUAAGUGUUUAUAGCCUCUUGCCUAUGCAGUCGGAGAGAUUGAGGUCUGCAGCGUAGAUCCUUCGGGGCUAAAUGCAUUUGUGCUAAGUCAUAGCAUUUUAUAGACAACUUGUUGACUAUGAUUUGUCUUGUAGCUUACUCGCUUAUGUUAUUUUACCUACGCUUAGGAUGUUGAAGAUGUAGCACAUCAU
rnacentral:rRNA from 1 species